rnacentral:rRNA from 1 species
GAUGAACGCUGGCGGCGUGCCUAAUACAUGCAAGUCGAGCGAACAGACGAGGAGCUUGCUCCUCUGACGUUAGCGGCGGACGGGUGAGUAACACGUGGAUAACCUACCUAUAAGACUGGGAUAACUUCGGGAAACCGGAGCUAAUACCGGAUAAUAUAUUGAACCGCAUGGUUCAAUAGUGAAAGACGGUUUUGCUGUCACUUAUAGAUGGAUCCGCGCCGCAUUAGCUAGUUGGUAAGGUAACGGCUUACCAAGGCAACGAUGCGUAGCCGACCUGAGAGGGGGAGCGGCCAAACUGGAAAUGGGACACGGUCCAGACCCCUAGGGGGGGCAGGAGGAGGGAAUUUUCCGCAAUGGGCGAAAGCCUGACGGAGCAACCCCGCGGGAGUGAUGAAGGUUUUCGGAUCGUAAAACUCUGUUAUUAGGGAAGAAAAAAUGUGUAAGUAACGAUGCACGUCUUGACGGUACCAAAACAAAAAGCCACGGCUAACUACGU